UCUCCUUUUGCUAGAUCAUCCCUUUCCUACAAGGACGUUAACAUAGGCUGAGCUGGAGAGUUAGUGAGAAUUACUUAGGUGCAUAAGAUGAACUUUUUUGGUUAAUAUCUAUGAACUUCCUUUUGUAAAUUCUUCUUUUCAAUGUUGUAGUUUGCAUAUUCCUCCUUUUAGUAGUUUAUUUCUUGGAACUCAUUUAGCUUAACUCAUAACUCGAAUUUUAUGGUGUGUCAAUUUUUGUAGGGAGAAUUUUCUGCAAGAAGGCAAUGUGAUGCUGAUGGCGGUACAUGGUAGGAAUGUUUGGAACAAUGCGAUGAGAUGUGCUAUAAGAGUCCGGUUUUGAAGGAUCAACAAUGCAGUGCUUAUAUUGAUCGUGCCCCCGAUUAUAUUUCAAAUACUUGUGCUCGACACUGUGACUGGGGCACUUUAAAUGUUCUUAUAUGUAUGCUUCCAAAGUCUCAACUAUAGCUGGAAAAGACAUUGUGUGUAUUAUGUCUACCUACACUUCUCUUUUCCUGAAAUCUAGAGCUACUACGAUGAAGCAACAGCUUCUUUGCGAAUUCCCUGUUUCAUCUCAUUUAGUUCUUGGUUUAAUUCCGAAGGUGCUGGAGCUCCUGUUCAACUGAACAUCUUUUAUGCUGUGACAAUCAUUGUUACGACGAUGUUUCCCAGAACUCAGUCUGAAAAUCUGCCUGUUUGUCACUUCUGGCCUGGGCGGCUCAGUUCGGCCAAGCCUAUGGGUGUGGUGUACCACUGGCAGCUACGGUGGUAAGAACGACAACAUAUGCUUGGAUUUGAACUAAAUUUUUCAUUUCAAAUCCUUAUGUUGGGCCCGGCAUAUCAUAUCUAGUUUUAUCUAGAAGAAGGGGAAGAACUAGAAGCUACUGAUUGCCACAUAAUACUUGCACUAUACUAGGAAGUAUACUUUACGGACGUUGUACGACUUUUUCCUUUUUUAAGAAGUGUUGUACAAUUGUUUAACAUUUGUGGACAAGUGGAAGUAUAUAGAAAUAGUAGUGUUAGCGAGAUCCGAACUAAAGACCUCUGAUUGCUUUGAUAUUCUACUAAUAUGUGUGAUUUAUUUUAUUUAAAAGCU